AGAGAAAGUCGGAUGACCACCCCGCCACUAAAUGAUGUAUAGAGCACGAUGUUGGAAAUAUUAAGUGAAUAUUCCAGGUGUUAUGAAAUAGUUUAUAAAACGUUUUUCAUCAUUUAGUGGCGGGGAGGAAAGUCCGGGCACCGCAGAGCAGGAUGGUCGGUAACGCCGACCCGCCGUGAGGCGGGGAAAGUGCCGCAGAAAAUAUACCGCCGAGCACUUAAUAUUGUACAAUUAAGUGCUCAGGUAAGGGUGAAAUGGUGGUGUAAGAGACCACCGGUUGCCUGGUGACAGGUAACGCAUGGUAAACCCCGUCCGGUGCAAGGCCAAAUAGGUGAGCGUUUGAGGGUUGCUCGUCCGAGGCUCACGGGUAGGCUGCUAGAGUCGACCGGUAACGGUCGUCCCAGAGAAAUGGUCAUCCCCGACAGAACCCGGCUUACAGACUUUCUCUUCUG
rnacentral:RNase_P_RNA from 2 species